rnacentral:tRNA from 1 species
UCCCGUGUGGCUCAGGUGGUAGAGCAUGGCGCUUGCAACGGCAGGGUUGUGGGUUCGAUACCCAUAGGCGGAA